GCUCAUGAACAAAUCGGAUCUAGGCCAAAUGAUCCAAGUCCCCACAACACAUAAACACUCAGUAUCAUCCCUCGACCAUUUUCAAUCCAUCACUGCUUCCACACUCUCUCGCUCUCGUUUCGAAUACCAUGCCGAAGUCCAUGAACAAAUCACAUCCGAAAUCAACGCUCAAUCAUCAUCACCAAAAUCCUACUUGAUUCAAAUUCAUCUUCAUCUUCACCAAAUCGGCAUUGUGGAAUCCACACCGAAAGUGACUCGUGUUCAUGCGUGAAAUCGAGCGGCAUCAUGAAAUUCAAACCCAUAAGAUAAGCGAGGGCAAAAGACUUGCCAAAUCAAAGUUCUGACGCGGCGGCUCCCCGGAGAAUUGCAGGAUGCUAACGAUUGAUUCCCAUGAAUGUUGCAGCCUUGAUGAAUUGUUCUAUGUUGCUGUUAAUUCUAUUGGCGUGAUGAUGAAGUUCCAAACUUUUGAAUUUGUGAAUCUGGCCUGUGUGAGCUUGCAGGGCAUUCAUGUUGAUUAUAUUAAGAACCAGUGGUAGGUAAAAACCACAAUGAUGCUUUGAUGCUUGUUGAAAAAGAAAGCCUUGUGUGCAUGGAAUGAACAAGAGGUAUGAUGCCAAAUAUCAAUAUGGACUUGGAAGCAAUCAUGUACAAGAAGCCAAACAAAUAUCAACAUGGACUUGGAAGAUGAAAUUAGAACUAGGAUUGGAAAGUUAGGGGUUUAGGAUGGAAAACAAUUUUGAGUUGACUUUGGUCAAAGUUGACAAAAAGUCAACUAUUGACCAAAGUCAACAUUGGUCAACGUGUAUUUUUUGCAUCUUUUGUAUGUAAUGAAUAUUUCAUGGAUGAUAAUGAAUAGAAUUGGUUAUUUGAAUGAAAA